rnacentral:rRNA from 1 species
AUUAGACCCGAACCCGAGUGAUCUAGCCAUGAGCAGGUUGAAGGUGAGGUAACACUCACUGGAGGACCGAACGGGUGCCUGUUGAAAAAGGCUCCGAUGACUUGUGGUUAGGGGUGAAAGGCCAAUCAAACUCGGAAAUAGCUGGUUCUCCGCGAAAUCUAUUUAGGUAGAGCGUCGACCGAAUACCCUCGGGGGUAGAGCACUGGAUGGGUGAUGGGGGCCCACAGCCUUACUGAGCCUAACCAAACUCCGAAUACCGAGGAGUACUAGUCGGCAGACACACGGCGGGUGCUAACGUCCGUCGUGAAGAGGGCAACAACCCUGACCUCCAGCUAAGGUCCCCAAGUCAUGGCUAAGUGGGAAAGGAUGUGAGGAUCCCAAAACAACCAGGAUGUUGGCUUAGAAGCAGCCAUCAUUUA